GAGAAGAGAAGAGAAGAGAAGAGAAGAGAAGAGAAGAGGAGAGAAGAGAAAUGAAAUGCAGGAGCUCAGGCCUCACCCCCAGACCUACUGAGUCUGAAACAGCAUGUUGAGAAGAUUCCCCAGGUUCUACCCUUACUGGCAGGACAACUCUACGUGCUGGAUUGUCCAUUCCUGAUUGGCUUGACUCCAUUGUGUGAGAAGUCAGACUAUGUCAUACCGUCCCUCCUGAAUCAAGCACUACUCUAAAUUCCUGAAACUGACAACAUCCAGCCAAUAAGGUUAACAAGAGGGACCAGCAGAGACACAGGUCUUGGGAAGAGAAAGGCAGUGCUGUGUUGGUCAUCAGGAUCCACUUACAAGCAAGAUCCACAUGGAGCACUGGUUUAGAACUUCUAUAAAGGGUCGUUAGGAAUCAUUUUUUCUAGAUACAACAAGAAAAAACAGUCUAGGCUUUGCAAGAGUUCUUGACUGCUUUCCUAAUCCCACUGGCCACAUCCAGUUGAUCACCAAGUCCUAUUAACUUAAAUCAUGAUAAUCUGAUACUAAAUGCUUAAAAGUGCCAGUCAUCUGAGAGUUCUAUAUUUAGUAAUUCAUUUAACCCUUACAACCUCCCUACUUUGUAGGCAUAUUACUAUUACUAUGUUUAAUAUGUGACCCAACAAGAGAUAUAUGGAUUGAGUAACUUUCAUGAAACACAGCUAUAGAGAGGUAAAACUUAGGACUCUAAGCAGCAUGUCUGGCUCCAGAACCCACAUUCUUCUCCAUUACAUUUCACCAACCCUUAUGUGUCAAUUCUGUCUCCUCCUUACCAUCCCUACUGCCUUGGCUUUAUUUAAUUCAAGGACUUAUCUUCUCUGGACUGGUUUCUUGCAAGGACUCUAAUCAUUUUCCCUGACUCCACCAUCUCCACUUCCCAGAACAAUACUUUUGUCCACACUGAUGCCAGUGUGGCAUUAAGCACAUAGUUAUUGGAAACUUAAAAUGUGUCUGGUCCAAAUUGAGAUGUACUGUAAGUAUAACACCAGAUUUCAAAGUGGAAGUGUGGAAGAAAGUGUGGAAGAAAGAAUGUAAACUAUCUCAAUAAUUUUCCCUUUGAUCACGUGUUACUGGGUCUUAUUGCUUCAGGCCCGAAUGAGCUAGCAGAUUCCACAAAAUGUUUAAGCCCUCUAAAGAAGAUAUCUGCCAGGGGUGCCUGCGUGGCUCAGUUGGUUAAGCAUCCAACUUCAGCUAGGGUCGUGAUCUCAUAGUUCGUGUG